AAGAUUUACCAGCCAUCAGCUCUAUCUAGGGGGCUUUCAUUUCUUUCCCCUUGGAGUUCUUUUCUUCAGACUUAAAGCAGAAAGGGGUCUGUGCUGCCUCUAAAGGAUUAUGAGACUACCCUUUAGGUUGAAGUUUGACCUGGCUCCUGGCUUACCAGUCUCCUGGAAGCAGAGCAUGCAGAUACUCAUGCGGAUACCCAUUGGAAUGACAUCAUCCCUCCCCAACCCCAGCUCUCUCUGCUCACCUUCCAAAGGCACCUGGAGGUGCAAGCCUCAUGCAUCUCCUUUCCUGAGCACCAGUAAUGCUGCUGGCAUCGCCUGCUUUCUCUCCAGUGGCUGGAGACUUCAAGCUGACUUCAUUGUUUCCACCUUGGGAAAAUCCCUAGGCUAAGCUGGGCCUGACCCAGCAUCCUCUGCCUUCUAGGAAGUGCCCAGCAAGAGGGAAAGCAGACCCCUUUAGUCACUCCACAAGCAAUAGCUCCAUGAGAGGCAUGGACUGUGAGACUACUCCCUCCUGUUCCUCCUUCUCCAUCCCCCAUGGAGGAGGCAUCGCACUUUACCAAGCUGAUGCAUUCCUACAGAAGUGGGCCCCGGAUUUCUGCAAGUCGACUAUCAUGAUGACUUCGCUGGAGGAAAGGGAGAAAACCUGAAUAAGGAAAAAUGUUAUUUGACUUAUACUCUGGACUCCUCCAUUCUGAAUGUAGACUGCCUAGAUUUACAAAACCAAAUUAUGAGAAAUCAGAAAUGCUGCCCAUCCUUUUAACUCUGCUCUUGGUUAUCUGAAAGGGUCCGAAGAUGGAAUGACUAAAAUCU
rnacentral:lncRNA from 1 species